GCGGCCGCGGCGGUCGCUGGGGGCCACGGAGCCUGAGGUCUGAUUCUCUGGCCUUUGUGUCCCUGGGAAGUUACUCUGCCAGAGGAAAGCAGGUGUGCUCCACUUCUCCCGUGAACCUGAAGAUGAGUUGUCCCAGACUCUUCUCAGUGAUUGGAAACUUAGGUGGUGGAGCUAAAGGUUACUUGUUACGAGACUUCUACAGACAACUCUUGUUGGGAUCCAUCUAUGGUUUAGCAACAUUAGUGGAAAAGUUUUCUUGAAUAUUGACUUUGAAUAUAAAAACGUUUAUAUUUAGACUUCAGAUUUUGUGUGAUCAUCAAACUCAACGAGGGGAUAAACAUAAUUGGGGGCGAAUGAUGGUCUUGUCUUGUUAAUAAUUUCAACAGAAGUAUCACAACACCGCCGACUAUCCUGUCCAGUCCUAAUUCCACGCUUGUUGCAUCUGGAUGGUAGAUUUGUUUUAAUUGUGUAUUCCCUCCCUGCAGUAGUUUGCUUUAGUUGUAAACAUUUUUUGGUCCCAUGAGAAGGAAAACAUUUCAAAAAAUAGACAACUAAAGUUUCUCAAAGAAAGGAAACCUGGCUGUUUGCCUUCAGUUGCAUGUGUAAGUAUCUAGGGAACUUGAUGGCAGUAAUAUUGCAUUUUGGUAGGCUUGCUAAGAAAAACCUCGUUUUUAUAAUAAGGCUAUAAUCUAGCUUAGACAUUUUAAUUG
rnacentral:lncRNA from 1 species